ACUCUACUAGGAUGAUGCACAAGAAAAGUUC
rnacentral:tRNA from 1 species